rnacentral:rRNA from 1 species
GAUGAACGCUGGCGGCGUGCCUAAUACAUGCAAGUCGAGCGAACAGACGAGGAGCUUGCUCCUCUGACGUUAGCGGCGGACGGGUGAGUAACACGUGGAUAACCUACCUAUAAGACUGGGAUAACUUCGGGAAACCGGAGCUAAUACCGGAUAAUAUAUUGAACCGCAUGGUUCAAUAGUGAAAGACGGUUUUGCUGUCACUUAUAGAUGGAUCCGCGCCGCAUUAGCUAGUUGGUAAGGUAACGGCUUACCAAGGCAACGAUGCGUAGCCGACCUGAGAGGGGGGUCGGCCACACUGGAACUGAGACACGGUCCAGACUCCUACGGGAGGCAGCAGUAGGGAAUCUUCCGCAAUGGGCGAAGGCCGGACGGAGCAACGCCGCGGGAGUGAUGAAGGUCUUCGGAUCGUAAAACUCUGUUAUUAGGGAAGAACAAAUGUGUAAGUAACUAUGCACGUCUUGACGGUACCUAAUCAGAAAGCCACGGCUAACUACGUG